GUAGGGAAUAUUGGACAAUGGGGGGAACCCUGAUCCAGCCAUGCCGCGUGGAGGAAGACUGCCCUCUGGGUUGUAAACUCCUUUUAUAUGGGAAGAACCGUCCUCAUUAAUGAGUGACCUGACGGUACCAUAGGAUUAAGCACCGGCUAACUACGUGCCAGCAGCCGCGGUAAUACGGAGGGUGCAAGCGUUAACCGGAUUCACUGGGUUUAAAGGGUUCGUAGGCGGAUAAAUAAGUCAGUGGUGAAAUCAACGGGCUCAACCUGUUAACUGCCAUUGAUACUGUGUAUAUUGAAUAUGAGAGAGGUAUGCGGAAUGUUGCAUGUAGCGGUGAAAUGCUUAGAUAUGCUACGGAACACCGAUUGCGAAGGCAGCUUACUAUUUCGUAAUUGACGCUGAGGCACGAAAGCGUGGGUAGCGAACAGGAUUAGAAACCCUUGUAGUCC
rnacentral:rRNA from 1 species